rnacentral:RNase_P_RNA from 1 species
AAAGCAUAGCAAAUGCUCGCUUCUUUUUAGAAGAGGAAAGUCCGGGCUGCUAAAGACAAACAUUCCAUCUAACCGAUGGCUAGGGCAACCUAAGGGAUAGUGCAACAGAAAGUAAACUACCGCAUGUGCGGAAAAGGUGAAACGGUGGGGUAAAAGCCCACCAGCGAUUUUGGUAACAAUUUCGGCUAUGUAAACCCAAUGUGCAGCAAGAAGGGAUGGUUGAUGUCUUUAUUUAAACCCUUCGCUUGAUUUUGCUUGCAAAAGCAAAACUAGAUAAAUGAGCAUUCUCGACAGAACUCGGCUUAUCGCUAUGCUUUUAAG